rnacentral:rRNA from 1 species
AGCGAACGCUGGCGGCAGGCCUAACACAUGCAAGUCGAACGAACCCUUCGGGGUUAGUGGCGGACGGGUGAGUAACACGUGGGAACGUGCCUUUAGGUUCGGAAUAACUCAGGGAAACUUGUGCUAAUACCGAAUGUGCCCUUCGGGGGAAAGAUUUAUCGCCUUUAGAGCGGCCCGCGUCUGAUUAGCUAGUUGGUGAGGUAAUGGCUCACCAAGGCUACGCUCAGUAGCUGGUCUGAGAGGAUGACCAGCCACAUUGGGACUGAGACACGGCCCAAACUCCUACGGGAGGCAGCAGUGGGGAAUUUUGCGCAAUGGGCGAAAGCCUGACGCAGCCAUGCCGCGUGGAUGAUGAAGGUCUUAGGAUUGUAAAAUCCUUUCACCGGUGAAGAUUAUGACUGUAGCCGGAGAAGAAGCCCCGGCUAACUUCGUGCCAGCCGCCGCCGUAACAC